CUCCCCCUGUUUAUCAAAAACAUGCCCUUUUGGUUUGUGUAAAAUAUGAAAGGUUUGACCUGCCCAGUGGUUUUGGCUAAACGGCUGCAGUGAAUAAUUGUACAAAGGUAGCGAAAUCAGUUGUCCUUUAAAUGGGGAAAGGUAUGAAAGGUUUGACGAUAAAAAAGCUGUCUCUUAAAAAUAUUAUGAAGUUUCCGUUUAAGUGAAAAGGCUUAAAUUUUUGAAAAAGACGAGAAGACCCUAUUGAGCUUGAUUAUAUUUUUUUAUUAGGUGAGGAUUGAAGUUUUAUUGGGGCAAUAGGAAGCUAAAAAGAACGCUUCUUUUUAGAGUAAGGAUCCUUCAUGGGAGAAAUAAGCAAAAGCUACCAUAGGGAUAACAGCGUUAUCUUUCUUGAGAGUUCUGAUUAAGGGAAAGGUUUGCGACCUCGAUGUUGGAUUAAGAUAUCUUUUUGGUGCAGCAGCUAAAAAGUAAGACUGUUCGUCUUUUAAAAUUUUACGUGAUCUGAGUUCAACCGG
rnacentral:rRNA from 1 species